GUACCCUCCAGCCUUGCUGGGUGCUGGGUGUUUGUUCCGCUGUACGCGUGAACUCGCCUCAAAUACAUUGGCAGCCAGCCGUCCCGCGUGGGAGUGCAGCACAUUUUGCGCUCUCCGCUGCGUUCGGCGGCGUCCACAAGCCUACUAUUUUACGC
rnacentral:misc_RNA from 1 species